ensembl:lncRNA
AAGAAACUCAAUCAACAUCCAUAGAAAACAAGCAGUGAUAAGCAAGAAAAAUAAUUUAUUUGAAUGAUAUAAUAAUUUUCAUGACAUUGGCAAGACAUAUAUAGCUGCAUGUGUUUCAACCAACAGCUACAUAAACCAUACUGCUGGAUCUGAAAAUGAAGGUGGAUAACUUUCCUAAUCAUAAUAUAUGCACUUACAAUUUUUUAUUUAAAUGAUGUCCUUCCAAUGAGAAAUAACAAAAAUAGAAUAAUUUCAAGAACUCUCUCUUUCUUUCUCUUUUGAGUAGUGUAAUACUCCAACCACUUAUUUUGUGUGGGUAAGGGGGCGUUUUCUGUACGCGGUUUUUACUUCAAACUUUAUUCCUGUCCUGGGCCCAUUUACACAAAGCGUCUCAGAGCAAGAGUACUAAUCUAGGAUCAGUUUUCACUUUUAAAUCAUAAUGAAUAAGAUUACAUGGAUACAGGGUGGACCUGAUCCUAGAUCAGCACUCCUGCUCUGAGAUGCUUUGUGGUUAUGAGUCCUGGUCCUGUACAGCCACAGCUCUGGGAGCAGUUUUCUAGUUCUCUGUUAUACACUGAACAAAAAUAUAUACGCAACAUGUAAAGUGUUGGUCACAUGUUUCGUGAGCUGAAAUAAAAGAUCCCAGACAUUUUCCAUACGCAUGAAAAGCUUAUUUCUCUCAGAUUUUGUGCACAAAUUUGUUUACAUCCAUGUUAGUGAGCAUUUCUCCUUUGCCAAGGUAAUCCAUUCACCUGACAGGUGUGGCAUAUCAAGAAGCUGAUUAAACAGCAUGACCAGGUGCACCUUGUGCUGGGGACAAUAAAAGGCAGUUUUGUCACACAACACAAUGCCACAGAUGUCUCAAGUUUUGAGGGAGCGUGCAAUUGGCACAGGUGCACCUUGUGCUGGGGGACAAUAAAAGGCAGUUUUGUCACACAACCCAAUGCCACAGAUGUCUCAAGUUUUGAGGGAGCGUGCAAUUGGCACAGAUGUCUCAAGUUUUGAGGGAGCGUGCAAUUGGCACAGGUGCACCUUGUGCUGGGGGACAAUAAAAGGCAGUUUUGUCACACAACCCAAUGCCACAGAUGUCUCAAGUUUUGAGGGAGUAUGCAAUUGGCACAGGUGCACCUUGUGCUGGGGGACAAUAAAAGGCAGUUUUGUCACACAACCCAAUGCCACAGAUGUCUCAAGUUUUGAGGGAGCGUGCAAUUGGCAUGCUGACUGCAGGAAUGUCCACCAGAGCUGUUGCCAGGGAAUUGAAUGUUCAUUUCUCUACAGUGAACCGCCUCCAAUGUUGUUUUAAAGAAUUUGGCAGUACUUCCAACCGGCCUCACAACCGCCAAUCACGUGCAACAACGCCAGCCCAGGACCUCAACAUCCGACUUCUUCACCUGUGGGAUCGUCUGAGAUCAGUCACCCAUCACCCGGACAGCUGAUGAAACUGAGGAGUAUUUCUGUCUGUAAUAAACCCCUAUUGUGGGGGAAAACACAUUCUGAUUGUCUGGGCCUGGCACCCCUGCCCAGUCAUGUGAAAUCCAGAGAUCAGGGCCUUGUGAAUGUAUGUCAAUUGACUGAUUUCCUUCUAUGAACUGUAACUCAGUAAAACCUUUGAAAUUGCUGCGUUUAUAUUUUUGUUCAGUAUACUUAGGGCCAGGAGUUUUCCCUGACCGCGUGACCUGACUUGGACAAAUUCCAGGCCCCUACUAGUAAUAGUUGUAGGCUAUUUGCUUUACGACAGCAUUUAACUAGGGCCCAGAGAUUGUCUUGCAUGUUCAGGUGAUGUGGUGAGGAACACUACGGUGAUAGAUAUCAGUCAAAAUGUUGUGAAUUAAUGAAAUGGUUUGACAGAAAUGUAUCUCCAUAAAAAACUCCUGGCCCUAAUCAUGCUAUCAGCUCCAUAUGUAAUAUGAAUACAGGCAGUUUGAUGGUAUUUACAUGGUAUAUACAGAUUAACACUUCAACAUACUGUUGCUUUAGAGAGUGUGAACAAAUCUCAGAUGACAGUGUCUCACUAUUCCAGUGCACUACUUUUGACCAGAGACAAUUUACCCAUUGAAGAACCCUUUUUGGUUCCUGGUAAGAACCCUUUUUGGUUCCUGGUAGAACCUUUUUGGUUCCUGGUAGAACCCUUUUUAGUUCCAGGUAAAACUCUUUUGGGCUCCAUGGUGAAACCUCUGUGAAAAGGGUUCUACAUGGAACUCAAAGGGGUUCUACCUGGAACCAAAAGGGUUCUACCAGGAACCAAAAAAGGUUCUUCAAAGGGUUCUCCUAUGGAGACAACCGAGGAACCUUUUUUGCACAUUCUUAUCGAACAGUGUAUGUAGAAGUAGUGCACUAGAUAGGGAAUAGGGUGUCAUUUAAGAUCAAGUCUUAAGAAUUAUAUUUCUGUUUGUUUGUUUGUAUAGCGUCAUGAUGACCAGAUGGUUAGUAACAGCUUGUUGUGUGGCAGUUUGAUGUCGCCGCAGAAACAAGAUAUAAAACACCAACUGGCAAGUGGGCAUUUCUUUCUGUUCUCCCCCUCUCUCUCUCUCUCUCUCCCCCUCUCUCUCUCUCUGUCUCUCUCUGUCUCUCUCUCUCUCUCUCUCGCUCUGUCUCUCUCUCUGUCUCUCUCUUUCUCUCUCUCGCUUUCUCUUUCUCUCUCUUUCUCUCUCUCUCUUUCUCUCUCUCUCUUUCUCUCUCUCUGUAUCUCUCUCUCUUUCUCUCUCUCUCGCUCUCUUUCUCUCUCUCUCUUUCUCUCUCUCUGUCUCUCUCUCGCUCUCUUUCUCUCUCUCUCUUUCUCUCUCUCUGUAUCUCUCUCUCUUUCUCUCUCUUCCAGACUUGUAUUGUUCUGUGGGGAGUUUGUGGAAAGCUUAGAGUGUUCUCCAUAUGAGUCACAAAACAAACAAAAAACAGAGGGGGGAGAGGGGAGGAGAGAAGAAAAAAGGGGGGGGGGAGGAGAGAAGAAAAAGGGGAGGGGAGGAGAGAAGAAAAGAGGGGGAGGGGAGGAGAGAAGAAAAGAGGGGGAGGAGAGAAGAA